ACGAACGCUGGCGGCGUGCCUAAUACAUGCAAGUAGAACGCACAGUUUAUACCGUAGCUUGCUACACCAUAAACUGUGAGUUGCGAACGGGUGAGUAACGCGUAGGUAACCUGCCUGGUAGCGGGGGAUAACUAUUGGAAACGAUAGCUAAUACCGCAUAAUAUUGAUUAUUGCAUGAUAAUUGAUUGAAAGAUGCUAUUGCAUCACUACCAGAUGGACCUGCGUUGUAUUAGCUAGUAGGUGAGGUAACGGCUCACCUAGGCGACGAUACAUAGCCGACCUGAGAGGGUGAUCGGCCACACUGGGACUGAGACACGGCCCAGACUCCUACGGGAGGCAGCAGUAGGGAAUCUUCGGCAAUGGACGAAAGUCUGACCGAGCAACGCCGCGUGAGUGAAGAAGGUUUUCGGAUCGUAAAGCUCUGUUGUAAGAGAAGAACGGUGUGAGAGUGGAAAGUUCACACUGUGACGGUAGCUUACCAGAAAGAGACGGCUAACUACGUG
rnacentral:rRNA from 1 species